UCAUCCCUCCCAAAUAACCACUUCCCCCCUUUCUUAAAAAUUCAAAUGAAAUCCCUACAAUUCAUCCCUCCCAAAUAACCACUUCCCCCCUACAACCCUAGACUACCUUCACCUCUUUUUCUUACUUCCCUUAUGCAAUUUCAUUUUUCUUUCCCUCUUAGUACUAUGGAUUCUAAACCCAAUCAUGUACAACAUCAAUGACUGCGUGCAAGGGCAGCACUGGGUGGCGAUUCACUGCGCUGUUCCAACAUUAGAAGCCGACCCAACAUUGCUUCGAUCGUCAGUCUGACAUGUUAAGUCCUCUCUCCCUAAUUUCCCCCUUUGAAGAUAGGAACUAUAUACUAAAUUUAUAUAACCAUGCAUUUUAAUGGAUGUUCAAACGAGAAGGUUUAUGGUAUCAAUGCUAAGGUUAUGUAGCAGCUUCUUUCAUGGCUUCAUCAUCAUGCGAGGAUUUUUUAGGGAUUCUUUGAGCUAUAAUUAAAUAAACAAAUGGUACCCCCUUUGUCCAUAACAUGAAUUGACCCUUCAGGUCUUGAGUGAAGCCAAGUUAGGUGUAUUUAUACAAGAUGUUGCUUUGAUGUCUUCUACUUUGUUCAAGAUUCACUAUCCCUCUUGGUAUGGCACUUGUUGUUGGAUUGGUUGGUUAGGGCCUAUUUCAACGCAAAUUUCCUAUGAUUCUAGACUCGGAUGCCCACCACUGAGUGCUCUCGACUUGGAUUGUUGAGCUAUCAAGGGCCUUAGAUCCAGAACCCGACCAAAUGUGAGUUGCUAUCUCCCUAUCACCCUCGCGAGGAAGUGACGGUUUCAUAUGGUAAUUAAACAUAUGAAAGAGUUUAUCGACUCUAUACAACAUGAUUUGGUUAACCGACUUUGAAAUGAAGAAGGGUAUUUUGAAGAAUCUCAAAUUAAGAAUUUAGUCGUAGAUUUAAUGUCGGGAUUUAUUAGAAAAAUGUUUUGAUCUUGUAAUUCCAUAUACUUGAACGGGUUGUUGGGUUGUUUAAUACUAGUUAACUUUUGUCGUGAGCAUGUGCAUUUGUGUGUAAUUGGAAUUAUAUUAGGAAAUAUUACUAAAACUUCUU